rnacentral:rRNA from 4 species
AAAUUGAAGAGUUUGAUCAUGGCUCAGAUUGAACGCUGGCGGCAGGCCUAACACAUGCAAGUCGAACGGUAGCACAGAGAGCUUGCUCUCGGGUGACGAGUGGCGGACGGGUGAGUAAUGUCUGGGAAACUGCCUGAUGGAGGGGGAUAACUACUGGAAACGGUAGCUAAUACCGCAUAACGUCGCAAGACCAAAGAGGGGGACCUUCGGGCCUCUUGCCAUCAGAUGUGCCCAGAUGGGAUUAGCUAGUAGGUGGGGUAACGGCUCACCUAGGCGACGAUCCCUAGCUGGUCUGAGAGGAUGACCAGCCACACUGGAACUGAGACACGGUCCAGACUCCUACGGGAGGCAGCAGUGGGGAAUAUUGCACAAUGGGCGCAAGCCUGAUGCAGCCAUGCCGCGUGUAUGAAGAAGGCCUUCGGGUUGUAAAGUACUUUCAGCGGGGAGGAAGGUGUUGUGGUUAAUAACCACAGCAAUUGACGUUACCCGCAGAAGAAGCACCGGCUAACUCCGUGCCAGCAGCCGCGGUAAUACGGAGGGUGCAAGCGUUAAUCGGAAUUACUGGGCGUAAAGCGCACGCAGGCGGUCUGUCAAGUCGGAUGUGAAAUCCCCGGGCUCAACCUGGGAACUGCAUUCGAAACUGGCAGGCUAGAGUCUUGUAGAGGGGGGUAGAAUUCCAGGUGUAGCGGUGAAAUGCGUAGAGAUCUGGAGGAAUACCGGUGGCGAAGGCGGCCCCCUGGACAAAGACUGACGCUCAGGUGCGAAAGCGUGGGGAGCAAACAGGAUUAGAUACCCUGGUAGUCCACGCCGUAAACGAUGUCGAUUUGGAGGUUGUGCCCUUGAGGCGUGGCUUCCGGAGCUAACGCGUUAAAUCGACCGCCUGGGGAGUACGGCCGCAAGGUUAAAACUCAAAUGAAUUGACGGGGGCCCGCACAAGCGGUGGAGCAUGUGGUUUAAUUCGAUGCAACGCGAAGAACCUUACCUGGUCUUGACAUCCACAGAACUUUCCAGAGAUGGAUUGGUGCCUUCGGGAACUGUGAGACAGGUGCUGCAUGGCUGUCGUCAGCUCGUGUUGUGAAAUGUUGGGUUAAGUCCCGCAACGAGCGCAACCCUUAUCCUUUGUUGCCAGCGGUUAGGCCGGGAACUCAAAGGAGACUGCCAGUGAUAAACUGGAGGAAGGUGGGGAUGACGUCAAGUCAUCAUGGCCCUUACGACCAGGGCUACACACGUGCUACAAUGGCGCAUACAAAGAGAAGCGACCUCGCGAGAGCAAGCGGACCUCAUAAAGUGCGUCGUAGUCCGGAUUGGAGUCUGCAACUCGACUCCAUGAAGUCGGAAUCGCUAGUAAUCGUAGAUCAGAAUGCUACGGUGAAUACGUUCCCGGGCCUUGUACACACCGCCCGUCACACCAUGGGAGUGGGUUGCAAAAGAAGUAGGUAGCUUAACCUUCGGGAGGGCGCUUACCACUUUGUGAUUCAUGACUGGGGUGAAGUCGUAACAAGGUAACCGUAGGGGAACCUGCGGUUGGAUCACCUCCUUA